AUGGCGCCGUACCCCCAUUGCGGUCAUACCCAGACGGCGCCGCGCUUUGCCAAGCUCGCCUUCGCCACCAACGACGACACCGAGGACCCCCUCAACUGGCUUAAUCAGUGUGACCAGUUCUUUCGGGGGCAACGUACGCUCGUGUCGGACCGCACCUGGCUCGCUUCAUAUCACCUCCGAGGCGCCACACAGACUUGGUAUUACGCUCUCGAGCAGGACGAGGGCGGCAUGCCUCCAUGGGAGCGUUUUCGUGAGCUCUGCCUCCUUCACUUCGGGCUGCCGAUACGCGGGAGUCGGCUGACGGAGUUGGGCGGUCUUCUCUUCACCUCUACGGUGCAGGACUUCGUCGACCGCUUUCAGGCCCUGGCGUGCCACGCGCCCGGCGUGACGGCUCGCCAGCGGGCUGAGCUCUUCGUCCGCGGUCUGCCGGAUCAUAUCCGCGUGGACGUGGAGCUGCGGGGACCCCAGGACCUCCAGACGGCCAUGUACUAUGCCUGCGCGCUUGAGCGCCGCGCGGUGGCCAUCCAGCAGGCGUCACCGCCCCGGGCCGCUGGGCCGCCACUCUGGCCGGACGUUCCAGCGCAAGGUUGUCCUGAUCAUGCUUCCGCGGCACCCCUCGCCGCGACCGCGCCGCGCCCGUUCCGCCGGCUCACACCGGCCGAGCAACUCGAGCGUCGCCGCCAAGGUUGUGCUUCAACUGCGACGAGCCCUACGCGCCCGACCACGUCUGUCCGCGACUCUUUUACUUGGAGGCUGCGGACUACAUUGAGGAUGAUGCCGCUGCAGUCGGGCUCGCGACCUGCCCGCCCCAGCUUCCGCGGAGGUGUUUUGGCGACGGUUGAUCACGUCAAGGUGUUCCACAAGUGCUUUCCCGCCUUCCAGCUCGAGGACGAGCUGUUUGUGCAGGCGGGGAGAAAUGUUAUGACCGACAUGUUAGGGGCUUAA
rnacentral:rRNA from 1 species